CAGGGAGAGUACCAUAUGCAGUAUUCCUGGGAAUCGCUAGAUGGUGCACACAUACAAAGAAAAGAAAAGAAAAGCAUGAUGGGACCUCACGUGAUGACGCCCCUUCCCAAUCAUCAUUUCCUUUGUGCUUCGCGCAAGGUGCACGCAUCGAGUUUGCUCCGGUACGAUCCGGUAGUGACUCAGUUUUUCGUUGUUGGCUACGAGAAGAACCACUUUCGGCGCACCAUGCCGCCGAUAGGGUAAGCCCCUAUCGGCCGGCUACUAUCGUCGCAGCAGGCCGUAAGACCGGGAAGGGUGAAAAGCCCCUAUCGGCGGGCUACUAUCGGUACUGGCGGUCGAGCUUAGCGCUCAAGGCUUGCCAGGCGCUGGGAAGGACCAAAAGGCCCUUUCGGCGCAACAUGCACGGGAAGAAUUGGCCAAGCAUGCCGUAGAACCUGGAGGUUAUCGGCGAGGCUACGUAUACAGACGGCCGUCAUACCUUGUGCCUUACACGGAGCUGGCAUUAUCGGCGCACCAGGCCGAAAAACCUGGAGGAUAGCGCAGCCACAGACGGCCGCUAUGGCCAUGGUGCCCGAGGUUGAGGCACUGGCCCUUUCGGUGCAGCAGGCACGGAGAAUUGAGGUAAUACCCCACGUUCUUUGCGCCAGGUGACGCUAAAGAUUCGAGAACGGUGGAAGACUGUUCUCGUGGCUCCAUCCAUAUUCAGAAGGAGCGGCAGCCGCCGUGCCACGUGGGCCGAUCGGGGUAAUCGACAUCUCAAUGGAACUGUAAGUAGAUUACGGGCUCCGGUCGCUCCGUUAUGGUUGCUCGGAUAAGCUUCCAUGUUGAACACGCUGUUAGGCAUGUUGCCGUUGCAUUCUACGCUCGUCUAGGAGGAGCGUCCAGCAGUUUUCCCCAUAAUUUAAAGUCGCUUUAUGAGCGGUUGACUUAGGAAAGACGUCAAUCGGCACAGAAAGGGGCCUCCCCUUCUUCUUCUGCUGACUAUGAUACGUCGCAGUUGUCUGACAAGAGAAGCUCCAGGUGAAUAAAAUAUUGGGAGCUUAUGUUAAAGCUUGUCCCUGAGGGAAGCUUUUUUAUGGCAAUAAAGUUAUCAAUUACUUAGCCAUACUAGAAAUGUGUGUCCGUAAUUAGCAUUAUCACGGAGAAUGCUCCACAAAGACAAUUGACGAAAUUGAAUUCGUCUGGGACGUUGUGUGACUAGUCACGCGCGUAGUUAUUACACAUGUAUGUUCAACGUCUGGCUCUUUGUUGUUACUUUAGACAACAAGAUUUAACAUGAUUCAUGUUGACGAGUCUAACAUGUUUUUGGUAGUCUUGAUAGAAUAUUGUUCUUUACGAGGAACACGUGUCCUUUCUAAUAAACCAUUGUUAUGCAAACAAUGCAAACAUUGCGAAUGUUGUCGGCAAAUGGUCGACGGUAUUCCUCCGAACUCCGCUCACCCAGGAUUGACCGUCCCGGGUGUGGUUGCGGAGCAUUCUUAUGAUUCUACUUCUUCCUGGUAAUUAUGUUCCAGAAGAUGGGAAGAAGGAGCUCUGUGUGCUUCACGGAACUUCAGUUGCUCGUCUUGGCUCGCCACGUGCUCGUCCUGGACUGGCGGGGAUUCCCAGUCACCAGAGCAGGGGCUAUUGAGGUAGCCAAUCAGGUGUUGGGGAACAAUGCAAGUUACCAGACACCUUUCUGAACGUCACUAUCCCGAGCUUCCGGUAGGUGAUUGGUGACAAGUGAGCCAUGCAAUUUAGGCUCACAAGGCUGGCUUCUGGCAGCCUGCAAUCCACUUGACUGGAAACAUUAAAAUGUGGUGUUGAGUUACCAAAAUUGGUACUCACUUCGAUUGUAUUUGUAAAGAUUGCCUUUACCACAGAUGAGGCUCCUACUUGUUACAAGUUCAGUAUGUUUGUUACACACGUUAUGGGGAUUCCGGAGGAAUCUAACACAGUUGACUUCAUGUUUUGCAUGAACCACACCAAUUCAAAUGUAUUAUUGGUAUGUUGGUACUCUUUGGUUUAUUUAGAGCCACAGUUAGCUUGAAUUUCAGCUAUUGUUUCCUGUGGUCGAUAGAUGGCUUGGGCGCUCUUAUAUUAGCCCAGUCGUUCAACACAUGCAUGCUAUACAUUGCCUUACCUUACAUACAUUGUACCCGUUACAAUUGUUGUGCAAUAAACAUUGAUUUGUUUUAUUGUUAUAGGCUGUUCUUUCACGAGGAUCAGCCACUUAAUCUAAUGGGUUUCUCCCCUCUAUGAAGGGAAACAAGAGGUUUGUGUUUUUCUCCUCAAAGGUCACUUGAGGAUGUCUCCUUCCCCUUGGGAAAGGGGGGGGGGGGGGGUAAGUUGACGGGACUGGACAAUGUGUACCAAGUCCUAAGGAUUAAUGCUUUUUCAGUGUUUGUUCAUCAGGCACUCAGUGUUAUCUAACAGUUAUACUGGUAGGACAUUAGGUCACGAGAACUGACCUUCUUAGACUAUAACUGAUACUUCAGUUGAUACCUGUGCUGUCCAGAUACAGCUUUGGAGUCUGCAUAUGGUACUCUCCCUGAACAAGGUCGAGUCAGUGAGGUAUAAUUGGGGGUUAUGCUAAGAUGUACUUACCAUCUACAGUAUAAUCUGAAUUAUACCUCAUACGAGACCUUGUUCAGGUAUAUCUUCCCACCCUCAGUAACUUAUGUUCAGCUGCAGGGAUUUAGUGAACAUUGCCCACCCAUGGACAGCACAGACUUAUUUAUCUACUCUCGCACUCAGUCAAUGAUGAUUGGGAAGGGGCGUCAUCACGUGAGGUCCCAUCAUGCUUUUCUUUUCUUUUCUUUGUAUGUGUGCACCAUCUAGCGAUUCCCAGGAAUACUGCAUAUGGUACUCUCCCUGAACAAGGUCUCGUAUGAGGUAUAAU